ACGGGAGGCAGCAGUGGGGAAUAUUGCACAAUGGGGGAAACCCUGAUGCAGCGACGCCGCGUGAGCGAAGAAGUAUUUCGGUAUGUAAAGCUCUAUCAGCAGGGAAGAAAAUGACGGUACCUGACUAAGAAGCUCCGGCUAAAUACGUGCCAGCAGCCGCGGUAAUACGUAUGGAGCAAGCGUUAUCCGGAUUUACUGGGUGUAAAGGGAGCGUAGGCGGCAUGUUAAGUCUGAUGUGAAACUCCGGGGCUCAACCCCGGAACUGCAUUGGAAACUGGCAUGCUAGAGUGUCGGAGGGGUAAGCGGAAUUCCUAGUGUAGCGGUGAAAUGCGUAGAUAUUAGGAGGAACACCGGUGGCGAAGGCGGCUUACUGGACGAUAACUGACGCUGAGGCUCGAAAGCGUGGGGAGCAAACAGGAUUAGAUACCCUGGUA
rnacentral:rRNA from 1 species